rnacentral:rRNA from 1 species
AGAUGACGAGUGGCGCACGGGUGCGUAACGCGUAUGCAAUCUACCUUUUACUAGAGUAUAGCCCAGAGAAAUUUGGAUUAAUCCUCUAUAAUAUCUUUAAGUUUCAUGACUUUUAGAUUAAAGUUUUAACGGUAAAAGAUGAGCAUGCGUCCUAUUAGUUUGUAGGUGAGGUAACGGCUCACCUAGACUACGAUAGGUAGGGGCCCUGAGAGGGGGAUCCCCCACACUGGUACUGAGACACGGACCAGACUCCUACGGGAGGCAGCAGUAAGGAAUAUUGGACAAUGGACGAAAGUCUGAUCCAGCCAUGCCGCGUGCAGGAUGAAAGCCCUAUGGGUUGUAAACUGCUUUUAUACAGGAAGAAACACUCGUACGUGUACGAGCUUGACGGUACUGUAAGAAUAAGGACCGGCUAACUCCGUGCCAGCAGCCGCGGUAAUACGGAGGGUCCGAGCGUUAUCCGGAAUCAUUGGGUUUAAAGGGUCCGCAGGCGGUCUUUUAAGUCAGAGGUGAAAGCCUACAGCUCAACUGUAGAACGGCCUUUGAUACUGAAAGACUUGAGUUAUUAUGAAGUGGUUAGAAUGUGUGGUGUAGCGGUGAAAUGCAUAGAUAUCACACAGAAUACCGAUUGCGAAGGCAGAUCACUAAUAAUAUACUGACGCUCAUGGACGAAAGCGUGGGGAGCGAACAGGAUUAGAUAG